GGUCGAUUAGCUCAGUUGGUUAGAGCGUGGUGCUAAUAGCUCGUUGCAAGCGAGUUGAGACGCCAAGGUCGCGGGUUCGACCCCCGUAUUGACCA